AUAAAUUAGAUAAAACGCUUACAUUCUGUUUUAAAGGAGCUGAUCAACAUGGGAACGAUUGUAUGCCAGACUUGCAAUUCAACAAUUGAUCAUUUCGAGGAUGAAAAGGUAACAGUCCUUUAUUCAAAAUGCACUUGCGACAAGUGCUCUAGCCACGAAGAUGAAUUAUAAAAA
rnacentral:sRNA from 1 species